CUACUGGGGUAUCUAAUCCUGUUUGCUCCCCACGCUUUCGUGCAUGAGCGUCAGAAAUGAGCCAAGAAGCUGCCUUCGCCAUCGGUGUUCCUCUCGAGAUCUACGCAUUUUACCGCUACUCCGAGAAUUCCGCUUCUCUCUCUCACCCUCUAGCUUAUCAGUUUCUACUGCUGAUCCUCAGUUAGGCCGAGGAAUUAAACAAUUGACUUAAUAUGCCGCCUGCGCACCCUUUACGCCCAAUAAUUCCGAAUAACGCUUGCACCUCUCGUAUUACCGCGGCUGCUGGCAC
rnacentral:rRNA from 1 species